CUAAUUUACUAUCUAGAAUGAAAUUUUGAGGAGACUUGAUUUAUUUUAAAGUAAAGUAAUAAAGGUUAUAGGCACAUCGUAGUAAAAAUAACUUGAUCUAUCAUGGCCCAAACUUGUACUAUUUGUGACAUGGUACUUUAAUUCAAGAGAAGUACCAAGCUUGCUGGCCCAAAAUGGUCACCAUUUGCUUCAUGGAUAACUGGCUGAUUAUUAGCCAAGUUGGACAAAAAUGGGGUAGAUUGAAUAUUGAGGAAGAUGAUGAUGGGCAACCAAGGAAGAAGGUUCAUCUAGGUGUUCCAGCGACACAAUGGAUUUCAGUUUACAAUGCUCGUCAGCCAAUGAAACAGAGGUGCAUUUUUUGAAUGUUAUGUUAUUUUUUUUUUACCCUUGAAGUAGUAUCAUUUGUCAUUUCUGUUGAUAUUACUAGCAGUAUUCUGCCUAUAUUUCUUUCUGUUAAUUUUUAAAUGCUUGGAUUGGAACCAUAUACAACUUUCUUAAUCUCUCUAUUUUUCUUUGUUGCCAACCAUAAGCAAGAACAAGUGCCCUACCAGCUGUCAUGUUCUUCUUCUCUGUGCGUCUCUCAAAAUCUCAUCUAUGGUUUUUGGUUUUCAGUUUCAUAUUAAUAAAUAUAUAUAUUUGUUGAAAUACAUGUGUUUAUUUUUUGUACUAUAUUCAUUUAUAUAUAAAUAUAUAUUAUACUGUUGUUGGAAAGGAAGGGAAGAUGGCAGAUUUUUAUGAUUUUCCCUCUUAAAUGUAUUAAAUUUAGUUAUAUGCAAUUCAUAGAUUGAAUAUUACUUUAAAUUAACGUCGUGGCUUAUGCAUGCAUGAUGAAUAAUUAGAAUAGGUCUUAUCCCCUUAUUCUUGUGUGCAGGGUAUUGACUCAAAGAAUCAGACUUCUCUCUUAUACAUUCUUGAGAAAAGCAAACUAUGACUGAAUAGUUGUACCUAUGGUAGGUUCAUUAUGAGUUUAAUACAUUGACGGGUACUGGACUUCUUGCAUGGUAAAGAGAAUUUUAUGUCUAAUCUUUUGAUGAUGUUGCAAUGGUCUCCUUUUGCGACAGAAGCAGAGCUUCUGAAGCAAUUCAUCUUGAUACAUUCCGUAGUCUCAUUAAGAGGCAUGCUUGCUAUUAAUCAUCUUGUGUCUAUAAAUACUAAGACAUAAUCAUGGAUUGAUGCUGCCCAUUUUUCAUGUUUUAGAGAA